UGUGGGAGCGGGCUUGCUCGCGAAGGCGGCGGUCCAGUCAAAGAUUUACCGACUGAUACUGCGCAUUCGCGAGCAAGCCCGCUCCCACA
rnacentral:misc_RNA from 1 species